GCCCUUGGUGUGGGCCAGACUUCUCUAAUCUGAAGAAAUGAAGCAAUUUUCCAUAGUAUAAGUAGCUGGCUUAACAAUAUCCUUCUCUGUAGCAAAAAUCCUGUUUCUCUCAAAUUACAAUACCCUUUUUCCUUUCGGUAAAAACAAUCUAAUCGCGUAGAUGGCUAUACGUUUCCCUUAUGUGCUUAGUAUUACCUAAGGGGUGUUUACCGGUUUGACGUUUGUGUAGGUGAUUUGGUUGAUAAGAAGAAAUCUGUGGUGCAGCUUUCUUACUUGAAUCGCCCUGUGUUUCGAAAAUUGCUACAGCGCACUGAAGAAGAGUUCGGGUUUAAUCAACUUAUGGGUGGUCUGACGAUUCCUUGCAGCAUAUCUAAGUUUCCAAAUUUGUUGAAAUGUGCACUCUAUUGUUCUUCAUGACCCUGCCGCAAAUAUCGACAGAAUUAGGCGUUAUACAUUGCAGAGCAGAAUGAACGAUUCACGAUUACAGACAAUAACGACAAUGCCAAAGCUUAUCUAAAAAAAUUGGCCUCAGCUACAUGAACUAACACCAUCCUUGUUUUUAGGUAGUCAAUAAAAAUAUAGACUUUGUAACUUGAGAAGGAAUUUAACAUAGACAAGCGAAUGUAUUUGAGUUCAUAAAUACCGAGCAAUUUUGGAAUCUAAUCGUUGAAGAUUCCCAAGGCGAUCCAUGGGAUUCAUAAAGGUCGGUAAAUGGAACCUAAGACACAACGUAUCGAGCCAAGUCCUCAAAAUAAAUAUGAACAUUGAAGGAUAUUGGAGCACAGAUUAAGCCAGGUUGUAAAUUAUUGCAGCAAAUUUCUUAUGUUUGUAACAUUUCUAAGGCAGAAAUAUAAUUUAUCGAGGUGUCUAUCGAGAAUAUCCACAUAGGAGAUAGGUUCAUCGCAUAGUGCACAGACUCAAAUAACAUGUAAUGCAUCAUCUUCAUCAAACAAUAAGUAAACAAUUGAGCUUCAACCAUCGAUUUAAGCUUUUGGUUGAGUUGGUUCCCUGACAUGGUAUCUAAAUCGAAUAUAACGGAUGGUUACAGGCGAUACUCGAAUUGAGGGGCACCCUUUGAUCGCGACCUCCAAGUGAUGAAGUGACUUCAUAUGUCAGGCGAUACUAAAAUUGAGGGGUUCCUUUUGAUCGCAACCUUCUAGUGAUGAGAAUAUUAGUUUUGCCUUUCUUUCCACCCUUCUCAAACCUAG